rnacentral:rRNA from 1 species
UACAGAGGUCCCAAGCGUUGUUCGGAUUCACUGGGCGUAAAGGGUGCGUAGGUGGCCGGGUAAGUUUGAUGUGAAAGCUCGGAGCUUAACUCCGAAAUGGCAUUGAAUACUAUCCGGCUUGAGGGUCGGAGGGGAGACUGGAAUUCUCGGUGUAGCAGUGAAAUGCGUAGAUAUCGAGAGGAACACCAGUGGCGAAGGCGAGUCUCUGGACGACAUCUGACACUGAGGCACGAAAGCUAGGGGAGCAAACAGG